rnacentral:rRNA from 1 species
GACAGAGGUGCCAAGCGUUAGGCGGAAUCACUGGGCUUAAAGCGUGUGUAGGCGGAUCGUUAAGUACCUUGUGAAAUCCCACGGCUCAACCGUGGAACUGCUCGGUAUACUGGCGGUCUUGAGCCACCUAGGGGCAACUGGAACAAGCGGUGGAGCGGUGAAAUGCGUAGAUAUCGCUUGGAACGCCGAAGGUGAAAACAGGCUGCUGGGGUCGCGCCGACGCUGAGACACGAAAGCCAGGGGAGCAAACGGG